AAAAAAAAAUUUUAUAUAAAAUUUUGCAACUGUAACACCAGCAGUCUCCCAUCCAACUACUAACCACGCUCAAUGCUGUUUAACUUUGGUGAUAUCCGUG